GCUGGCAGCUAGCUCUCUGCGUAGUCGCCCACUGAAGCUAAGCAGGGCUGCGCCCGGUCAGUACCUGGAUGGGAGACCACAUGGGAAAGCUAGGUUGCUGCCGGAA
rnacentral:rRNA from 1 species